rnacentral:rRNA from 1 species
GAUGAACGCUGGCGGCGUGCCUAAUACAUGCAAGUCGAGCGAACGGACGAGAAGCUUGCUUCUCUGAUGUUAGCGGCGGACGGGAGAGUAACACGUGUAUAACCUACCUAUAAGACUGGGAUAACUUCGGGAAACCGGAGCUAAUACCGGAUGAUAUUUUGAACCGCAUGGUUCAAAAGUGAAAGACGGUCUUGCUGUCACUUAUAGAUGGAUCCGCGCUGCAUGAGCUAGUUGGUAAGGUAACGGCUUACCAAGGCAACGAGGCGUAACCGACCUGAGGGGGUGAUAGGCGACAUGGGAACUGAGACACGGUCCAGACUCCUACGGGAGGCAGCAGUAGGGAAUCGUCCGCAAUGGGCGAAAGCCUGACGGAGCAACGCCGCGUGAGUGAUGAAGGUCUUCGGAUCGUAAAACUCUGUUAUUAGGGAAGAACAGAUGUGUAAGUAACUGUGCACAUCUUGACGGUACCUAAUCAGAAAGCCACGGCUAACUACGUG